rnacentral:lncRNA from 1 species
UAGCAAAGCCAAUCACAAAUCAAAAUCACAUUUCAAAGAACCAAACGUUCCUCUCAAAAUCUAAAAAUAUCCAUUAUGUUGUACAAAUUAGUUCAUAAAAACAACCCAAACAACUCUUCACCACACAUAGCAACCUCUUCAUCACGCCGUCGCCGCCGCACGCCGCAGCCCCUCCAUGCCCCAUCGAGCUCAAGAGCCCCAAAUCUUGCGCUGUCGCGCAGCACCCCAAACAUCGACCUGGAAACCCAUGGAGGUUUCGCUACUCUUAAUGUAAUAGCAACCAAAGCCCCAAAUUUGGUCUAUCCAUCGAUUUCUGUAAACCUCGUCUUUUCAUUGACUUUAGGAUAAGACCCCAUCAUCAUCACCACCAUCCGCCUCUCGCCUCCUUCCAUUUUUUUAUUUUCUUUUUAUUCAUUCGUCAUGGCACCGAUCUUCUUCUUCUUCUCUCUCUAACGGAGGGACGAGUUGUGUUUAUUUGUUUUUGGAAUUGGGUAAUUUAAUCUUAGGGUUUGCAUAUUAUUG